ensembl:snRNA U6 U6 spliceosomal RNA
GUGCUUGUUUUGGCUGCAUCUUUACUAAAAUCAGAAUGAUACAAAGAAGAUUAGCAUGGCCCCUGCACAAAGAGGAUAUGUAAAUUUGAUUUUAUGAUUUUGU